AGAAAAAAAUCAGAUUAGGAAAGCGUCGACUGGAUCUUUAACAUAGAUCGUGGCGAUUGUUGAAAAGAAAAAAAAGAAAAAGUAACAAAAAUAGCAAUCCUUCUUCUUCCUCUUCUUCGCUCCUCCUCUCAGACGGAGGACCAGGUGAAGCGUGGACUCCUUUUGGAUGUUGUAGUCGGCGAGAUUGCGUCCAUCCUCUAGCCGUUUCCCGGCGAAAAGGAGGCGCUGCUCCUCCGAUGGGAUCCCUUCUUUGUCUUCUAUCUCGAUUUGAUGUUCUCGUAUGUGUCAGAGGAACCGACCUGGACGGUUAUCGUCUUCUCCGUUAGGGUUUUCAUGAAGAUCUGCGACGGGGAACAAACAGUAGAAACAGAAGAAAGAGAAAAAAUCGAGAUAGAAUGUCUUGUUCAUUUCUGUAUUAAAAGAUAUCUUUGAGAAAGUGAAAAGAAGAUUUGAAAGACAACGAAACGGUAAAUGGAGACAGAAGCAGCGAGAAGUUAGAUAAAUUUAUGGAACAGAGGAUGGAAGGAGCAGAGAAGAAACAGAGACAGAUGAUGUCUUUGACGGAGAAACAGAAACAGAGACAGUUAAACAAUGAUAAAGGCAUGAGGCAAAAUCAUGAUUUAGUCAUUGGUGCUAUUGAAGAUGUAGGGUAAUAUUCAAGAACUUGAAAGCCAGUAGGCCCAGUACAUUGCACGGAAAUCCGAAGGCUCUUUCAAUAUCAUUCCCGUGUUGAACCCUCUCUCAAACUUCAGAACAAAGCUGAGAGUUGAAUAAUGAUGAAAGACAUGACCCAAAAUCAAACAAAAGCUUUCGAGUACACAGAUAAGUCUCGUACUAUGGAUUUAUUUGAUUGAGUUAACAAUGAGAAACAGUAUAUGUUUUACAUUGUAGUGAGCUGACUUAAUUAAGUAUACAAAUCAUGUACAGGUGGUGCAUUUAGGAUUGCUUACAUUGUGAGCACCAAGAUAAACAUCUUUUGGAAAGUCUGAGACAGCAGCUCCGAGAAGUUACAUAAAUAAAAUCUACGGAACAGAGGAUUGAAGGAGCAGAGAAGAAGCGAUUCAGAGUCCUUCUCUUAAAGUGUCGUUCUUGUUGACAGCAGCCGUUUGCAUGAGCAAGUUGAAUGAGAUAAUGCUCAGUCAGGAACAUCUUAAGCCUUCUGACAUAUCACAAAGAGUCCGAAGACGAUGUGAAUUCACAACUAACUACAGAUUACAUUCCUUUAUGAAGUAUCUAUCUACAAUAAACAGAUAAGUUUCCGAACAUUGCUUUAUUUGUUUGGGUUAUACAUGAGAAUAGGUAUAUGUUUUAUACUUAGUGAGUUGACUUAAUAGAUACAAUUCAUGUACAGGUCUUCAUUAAAAGAAUUAGAGAAAGAAGCUUUAUACAUUUGAAGGACAUGGGACACAGACAUGACUGCCCAAAAAUAGAAACCAAUGUAAGUCAAUUUUGAAAGCUUAAAAUUGUAGUAAUUAGGCUUCGCACUGAAACUGGUAGUAAAGUCAAUUUUUGAUGACUGUUGGUUGCAGUAUACGUGUUUCCUAGUUUCGAGGCUUGAAAUUUUGAUGUGUAAACUUUGAUUAGAGAUGAAGCUGGCAUCUGAUUAGAGAUGAAGCUGGUCAUGUUAUGUUUUGAAAUAUAAAAGUUUUGUAGAAGUUCAAAUAUGCUUGUUUGAAACAGUGACUGUUUGGUAUUGAAAUCACCCUUGAUUUCAAUCAUUUUAAUAUUUUUAAUAUAAAAUGCAAAAGUUUUGUCACAUAUAAUAAAACAUAUUGCUAAGCAGAUAAAAAACACAGACACAUUCAAGUGCUUUAUUAUACAACAUAGAGCACACAUCUAGAGGAUUACAUAGUGAAUGAAACAGAUUACAACAUAUUGAACGUAAGCAACAUUACAGAAAACAUAGGAAAACCAUUGAUAAACCCUUCCAUUUCUUAUUUUUCACGAGUAACAAAGGAAAACCAUUGAUAAACCCUUUUGUAGUAGUAACACUCAUCGCAAACUAAAGUUAUGUCAUCUUCGGGAUGGCACAUUCUACGUGGUCGAAGGUUAACCAUCUCCGCAUAGUCAUCCUGAGUGAAACUACACGGAAUUUCACUUAGGGAGUUCUUGAUUCUCUCCCAGCUUUGAUUGGACCUCGAUGGUUUUUCCAACCAUCGAAGUUUAUCCAAGUAGAUUCGCCCCUUCCAAUAGUGACCACGAACCAGCAUUAACAAACCGUAAAGGAACGUACCGUCAUCGUUUUUCCCAAUGGAAGCUUGUCGGAAAUGACGGAGUCCUGCACGUUGCUCAUUCUCUAUGUGACGGAGUCCGCUCAGCAGUGCAUUAGAAAAUCUUGAUUAUCAUGAAAGUGUUAGGAUGUGUGAUUGUACCUCUAAACUUUCCAAGUUUAGCAAAUCUGAAAAGCAAAGUAAUCAUUUCAUCGUCUUGAUUGCAUGCAGAAUGGAGGAUAUCGCAGAGGUUUCCCCAUACGCAGCAUGGUAUUCUUGAAUCACUAUGGCGCAAGUCAGAAGCCCAGGGGUUAUUGGUUGUGCGGUAAGCUCCUCCUGCAGGCCUAACAUGAAAGUUGCGGAUGUUGCGCCACACUCCAACCAGAAUAUCACUGGCUUUACUCUCAAUGUAUAGGAUUUGAAAAAGUUUUGCAAGACAAACAUUUGAAGGAGAAGAGAUUCAAGGUAAAUGAGAUGAUAUAUUUGGUGAUGGGCUGGGAUUAGAAUUAGUAUGGGCUGGGGUAUUUAAUUGAAUAAGCAGAUGAUAUAUUUUGUGAUGGGCUUGUUUAGAUUUCAUUGGAAUUAUGUUUUGGGCUUUGUAAAUGGACGAUUUUUUUUUUAAAAAAAAAGA